UACGUAGGGUGCAAGCGUUUGUCCGGAAUUAUUGGGCGUAAAGAGCUCGUAGGCGGUUUGUUGCGUCGGCUGUGAAAUCCCCGAGGCUCAACCUCGGGUCUGCAGUCGAUACGAGCAAACUAGAGUGUUGCAGGGGAGACUGGAAUUCCUGGUGUAGCGGUGAAAUGCGCAGAUAUCAGGAGGAACACCGGUGGCGAAGGCGGGUCUCUGGGGCAACAACUGACGCUGGAGGAGCGAAAGCGUGGGGAGCGAACAGG
rnacentral:rRNA from 1 species